rnacentral:rRNA from 1 species
AUUGAACGCUGGCGGCAGGCUUAACACAUGCAAGUCGAGCGGGGAAGGGUAGCUUGCUACCUAACCUAGCGGCGGACGGGUGAGUAAUGCUUAGGAAUCUGCCAUUUAGUGGGGGACAACAUUCCGAAAGGAAUGCUAAUACCGCAUACGUCCUACGGGAGAAAGCAGGGGAUCUUCGGACCUUGCGCUAAAUGAUGAGCCUAAGUCGGAUUAGCUAGUUGGUGGGGUAAAGGCCUACCAAGGCGACGAUCUGUAGCGGGUCUGAGAGGAUGAUCCGCCACACUGGGACUGAAACACGGCCCAGACUCCUACGGGAGGCAGCAGUGGGGAAUAUUAGACAAUGGGCGGGAGCCUGAUCCAGCCAUGCCGCGUGUGUGAAGAAGGCCUUAUGGUUGUAAAGCACUUUAAGCGAGGAGGAGGCUACUUAGAUUAAUACUCUAGGAUAGUGGACGUUACUCGCAGAAUAAGCACCGGCUAACUCUGUGCCAGCCGCCGCUGUAA